rnacentral:rRNA from 1 species
ACUCAAAGGAAUUGACGGGGGCCCGCACAAGCGGUGGAGCAUGUGGUUCAAUUCGACGCAACGCGAAGAACCUUACCUGGGCUCGAACGGCUCACGACAGCGCCUGGAAACAGGUGCUUCCCGCAAGGGACGGGAGUCGAGGUGCUGCAUGGCUGUCGUCAGCUCGUGUCGUGAGAUGUUGGGUUAAGUCCCGCAACGAGCGCAACCCUUGCCCUGUGUUGCUACUCCGUAAGGAGGCACUCUCAGGGGACCGCCAGCGAUAAGCUGGAGGAAGGUGGGGAUGACGUCAAGUCAGCAUGGCCUUUAUGUCCAGGGCUACACACGUGCUACAAUGGCCGGUACAAAGCGUUCCCAAGCCGCGAGGCGGAGGUAAUCGCAAAAAGCCGGUCUCAGUUCGGAUUGCAGGCUGCAACUCGCCUGCAUGAAGCUGGAAUCGCUAGUAAUGCUGCAUCAGAACGGUAGCGUGAAUACGUUCCCGGGCCUUGUACACACCGCCCGU